UACGUAGGGUGCAAGCGUUGUCCGGAAUUAUUGGGCGUAAAGAGCUCGUAGGCGGUUUGUCGCGUCUGCUGUGAAAAUCCAGGGCUUAACCCUGGACCUGCAGUGGGUACGGGCAGACUGGAGUGCGGUAGGGGAGAUCGGAAUUCCUGGUGUAGCGGUGAAAUGCGCAGAUAUCAGGAGGAACACCGGUGGCGAAGGCGGAUCUCUGGGCCGUAACUGACGCUGAGGAGCGAAAGCGUGGGGAGCAAACAGG
rnacentral:rRNA from 1 species